CAGUCGCCGCGGUAAUACGUAGGUGGCAAGCGUUGUCCGGAAUUAUUGGGCGUAAAGCGCGCGCAGGUGGUUUAAUAAGUCUGAUGUGAAAGCCCACGGCUCAACCGUGGAGGGUCAUUGGAAACUGUUAAACUUGAGUGCAGGAGAGAAAAGUGGAAUUCCUAGUGUAGCGGUGAAAUGCGUAGAGAUUAGGAGGAACACCAGUGGCGAAGGCGGCUUUUUGGCCUGUAACUGACACUGAGGCGCGAAAGCGUGGGGAGCAAACAGAAUUAGAUACCCCUGUAGUCCCUGUCUCUUAUAC
rnacentral:rRNA from 1 species